CCAGCAGCUGCGGUAAUUCCAGCUCCAAUAGCGUAUAUUUAAGUUGCUGCAGUUAAAAAGCUCGUAGUUGGACCUUGGGUUGGGUCGGUCGGUACGCCGCAUGGUGUGCACCGGCCUUUUCGUCCCUCCUGCCGGCGAUGCGCUCCUGUCCUUAACUGGACGGGUCGUGCCCUCGGUACCGUUACUGAGAAGAAAUUAGAGUGCUCAAAGCAAGCCCACGCUCCGGAUACAUUAGCAUGGGAUAACAUCAUAGGAUUUCGGUCCUACUGUGUUGGCCUUCGGGAUUGGAGUAAUGAUUAAGAGGGACAGUCGGGGGCAUUCGUAUUUCAUAGUCAGAGGUGA
rnacentral:rRNA from 1 species